rfam:Loxodonta africana unplaced genomic scaffold scaffold_23, whole genome shotgun sequence.
GCUGGUGUAGUGGUUUAGCACUCAGCUGCUAACUGAAAGGUUGGUGGUUUGAACCUACCCAACAGCU